rnacentral:ncRNA from 1 species
UCAUCGAGACCGGCUGAGGGGCAGGCCCUGAGACGCCGGGGCAACCUACGGGAGAUUACGCAACUCCCGGAAAGGUGCCAAGUCCUGCGGGAACCAAGGUUCACCGACAGAUGA